UAGUCUUAUCGGUGGAUCACUCGGCUCGUAGUUCGAUGAAGAACGCAGCUAACUGCGAUAAUUAGUGUGAACUGCAGAAGCAUUGAGCACAGAAUCUUUGAAUGCACAUUGCGCCAUUGGAUUUCGGUCCAUUGGCACGUUUGGUUCAGGGUCGUAACA
rnacentral:rRNA from 1 species